UAGGGAAUCUUCCGCAAUGGACGAAAGUCUGACGGAGCAACGCCGCGUGAGUGAUGAAGGCUUUCGGGUCGUAAAACUCUGUUGUUAGGGAAGAACAAGUGCUAGUUGAAUAAGCUGGCACCUUGACGGUACCUAACCAGAAAGCCACGGCUAACUACGUGCCAGCAGCCGCGGUAAUACGUAGGUGGCAAGCGUUAUCCGGAAUUAUUGGGCGUAAAGCGCGCGCAGGUGGUUUCUUAAGUCUGAUGUGAAAGCCCACGGCUCAACCGUGGAGGGUCAUUGGAAACUGGGAGACUUGAGUGCAGAAGAGGAAAGUGGAAUUCCAUGUGUAGCGGUGAAAUGCGUAGAGAUAUGGAGGAACACCAGUGGCGAAGGCGACUUUCUGGUCUGUAACUGACACUGAGGCGCGAAAGCGUGGGGAGCAAACAGGAUUAGAUACCCUGGUAGUCCACGCCGUAAACGAUGAGUGCUGAGUGUUAGAGGGUUUCCGCCCUUUAGUGCUGAAGUUAACGCAUUAAGCACUCCGCCUGGGGAGUACGGCCGCAAGGCUGAAACUCAAAGGGAAUUGACGGGGGUCAUA
rnacentral:rRNA from 1 species